UACGGAGGGUGCGAGCGUUGUCCGGAAUCACUGGGCGUAAAGGGCGCGUAGGCGGCGCGGGAAGUCAUCGGUGAAAGUUCAGGGCUCAACUCUGAAUCGGCCGGUGAUACUCUCGUGCUCGAGCACUGUAGAGGCAGGUGGAAUUCCGGGUGUAGCGGUGGAAUGCGUAGAGAUCGGGAGGAACACCAGUGGCGAAGGCGGCUACCUGGACCAGCACUGACACUGAGGCACGAAAGCGUGGGGAGCAAACAGG
rnacentral:rRNA from 1 species